rnacentral:rRNA from 1 species
CUACGUGCCAGCAGCCGCGGUAAUACGUAGGUGGCAAGCGUUGUCCGGAAUUAUUGGGCGUAAAGCGCGCGCAGGCGGAUUGGUCAGUCUGUCUUAAAAGUUCGGGGCUUAACCCCGUGAUGGGAUGGAAACUGCCAAUCUAGAGUAUCGGAGAGGAAAGUGGAAUUCCUAGUGUAGCGGUGAAAUGCGUAGAUAUUAGGAAGAACACCAGUGGCGAAGGCGACUUUCUGGACGAAAACUGACGCUGAGGCGCGAAAGCCAGGGGAGCGAACGGGAUUAGAUACCCCGGUAGUCCUGGCUGUAAACGAUGGGUACUAGGUGUAGGAGGUAUCGACCCCUUCUGUGCCGGAGUUAACGCAAUAAGUACCCCGCCUGGGGAGUACGACCGCAAGGUUGAAACUCAAAGGAAUUGACGGGGGCCCGCACAAGCGGUGGAGUAUGUGGUUUAAUUCGACGCAACGCGAAGAACCUUACCAGGUCUUGACAUUGAUGGACAGAACUAGAGAUAG